rnacentral:rRNA from 1 species
UACGUAGGCAGCAAGCGUUGUUCGGAAUUACUGGGCGUAAAGAGUGUGUAGGCGGGCCCGUAAGUGUCUUGUGAAAUCCCACGGCUCAACCGUGGAACUGCUGGGCAUACUGCGGGUCUUGGGCCAACUAGGGGCAGCCGGAACAAGCGGUGGAGCGGUGAAAUGCGUAGAUAUCGCUUGGAACGCCGAAGGUGAAAACAGGCUGCUGGGGUUGCGCCGACGCUGAGACACGAAAGCCAGGGGAGCAAACGGG